rnacentral:lncRNA from 1 species
UUCACACCUUCACAAUCAUCACACUCUCACCUUCACUCCCCACCCCUUCCUCUCGGCCCUCCCUUAACCGCCACCAUCACCACCACAAAUCCACCAUCUUCAUCCAUUUAUGAGUUCCAUUCAAGCUUAAAAGGUGAUACAAGGAAGCUUGCAACUUGUGGAGCUUCAAAGGACUUUGUUUCUUGCUUUUUCAUCAUCAUUUUUCAUCACCUUCUUCACUAGAAUCAUUCCUAGCCUUUGUGCUAGUAGUCGUUAGAUGCUUAUGGAUCUUGCACGAGGAGGAGGACGUUGUGGAAUAUGGGUUGUUAUGUCCCGUGCCUAACAAUUAAACUUUAUAAACUUAUGGAACUUAUGUUUUGGUCUUUAAACUUAUAAACUAUGAACUUAUGUUUUGGUUUCAUGUUUUAUGCUUCCGCUGUUUAAUCUGAACUUGGUUAACUCAAAGUUGGUUACUUUCUUUUGGUCACCAAUCGUAUUGUGGUUGGUUCUAUUUACUUAAUUAUGUUGUUCAAUAUGAUUGGUGGCUCGAUCCUGGUCAUGUCACGCCUCCAAGCGGUGAUACUCCGCAUGUGGAUUUUGGGGGUGUGACAGAUUGGUAUCAGAGCGAUUGGUUAUAGUGAACUUGGUUUUAAAAAGGGGAAAGGCUUUUUGAUAAAACCAGACUAUAACCUGUACAGUGGUCAACGAUCCACAACGACGCUUCGCUCCACGUGCAAGACUCGACACAAUAGGUGGUAUGAAUUAUGUUUAAAUUGUCGGUCGUUAGAUGCUUAUGGAGCUUGCACGAGGAGGAGGACGUUGUAGAAUAUGGGUUGUUAUGUCCCGUGCCUAACAAUUAAACUUUAUAAACUUAUGGAACUUAUGUUUUGGUCUUUAAACUUAUGAACUAUGAACUUAUGUUUUGGUUUCACGUUUUAUGCUUCCGCUGUUUAAUCUGAACUUGGU